rnacentral:rRNA from 1 species
GAACAGAUAAGGAGCUUGCUCCUUUGACGUUAGCGGCGGACGGGUGAGUAACACGUGGGUAACCUACCUAUAAGACUGGGACAACUUCGGGAAACCGGAGCUAAUACCGGAUAAUAUGUUGAACCGCAUGGUUCAAUAGUGAAAGAUGGUUUUGCUAUCACUUAUAGAUGGACCCGCGCCGUAUUAGCUAGUUGGUGAGGUAACGGCUCACCAAGGCAACGAUACGUAGCCGACCUGAGAGGGUGAUCGGCCACACUGGAACUGAGACACGGCCCAGACUCCUACGGGAGGCAGCAGUAGGGAAUCUUCCGCAAUGGGCGAAAGCCUGACGGAGCAACGCCGCGUGAGUGAUGAAGGUCUUAGGAUCGUAAAACUCUGUUAUUAGGGAAGAACAAACGUGUAAGUAACUGUGCACGUCUUGACGGUACCUAAUCAGAAAGCCACGGCUAACUACGUGCCAGCAGCCGCGGUAAUACGUAGGUGGCAAGCGUUAUCCGGAAUUAUUGGGCGUAAAGCGCGCGUAGGCGGUUUUUUAAGUCUGAUGUGAAAGCCCACGGCUCAACCGUGGAGGGUCAUUGGGAACUGGAAAACUUGAGUGCAGAAGAGGAAAGUGGAAUUCCAUGUGUAGCGGUGAAAUGCGCAGAGAUAUGGAGGAACACCAGUGGCGAAGGCGACUUUCUGGUCUGUAACUGACGCUGAUGUGCGAAAGCGUGGGGAUCAAACAGGAUUAGAUACCCUGGUAGUCCACGCCGUAAACGAUGAGUGCUAAGUGUUAGGGGGUUUCCGCCCCUUAGUGCUGCAGCUAACGCAUUAAGCACUCCGCCUGGGGAGUACGACCGCAAGGUUG